CCUGAGUAAAAGACAUGUGACAAAAUAGGUUUGCACACACAAUCUGGACAGGGCAAAACAAGAACCAAAACAAACUCCUAAAAUGUCACAAGAAGGGGCGAUAUGAGCAAAGGAAUAUACCUUUACCCAGUCUUCCAUAUCUCCAUCUUCAAUCACUUCUAACACCUCAUGUUCCUCAAUGGUCAACUCAUCUGGUUGAGAAGCCUGCAAUGUAGGAUGGUCAUGGACAAAAUUAAAAAGGUUAGAUAAAGAGCAGAUGUGCGCUGAUCAUAACAAAAACUGGGGAUCAAAAUAUUGAAAUGAUUUUGAAAAACAUACCAAACAUAAAAAUUUAAGUGUUGUAAAACUAUCGUAAUGAGGUGAAGUUUUACUUUAAAAAAUUAAACAAAAUAAAGCCACAGCAAAAACUGGAGAAACGGAAUCCUCAAGAGACAAUCAGGUGCAGUGAACAUAGCACUCUGCUGGAAGCAGGGGACCAGGGUUCCAGCUCCAGCUUGUUUCUAUUGGUUAUUCAACUUCUUGAUGCCUCCAUUUCUUCAAAAUGACAAUCCUGCCAUUCUGGGGAGGAUGAGGGAGUCAAUGUGGGAUGAAUAAGCUGAGAACCAUGAUGAUCUGUGAAGCACAGGCACAGGAGCAAGCGCUGAAUUAGAACGGCACCCGAGGGCUACCAUGGAGGCGCAGGCCGUGAAAAUGCAGAGAACUAUGUACAUGGAUUGGAUGACAGCUUGAGCAGCGCCUAGAACUGAUCUGGAAUCACUGUGCGAUAAACAAUGGCCAGGAGAAUUAGAGUUGCAGGAAAGAAAAUGGCUGAGAUCGUCCACAAUUUGGAUUUAUUAUGCUCUAACUUAACUGUGGAGAAUGGGCUGAUCCACUUAGAUGCUUUCGUACAGGCUGCUAACUGUGAUGGUUUUAUGGUCUCUGACGUAGGAGUUCACUAGCGCUGGCCACCCAGAUGCUGCUCCCGAGACUGCAGAAUCUGAGCGCAACCUCUAAGGGGCUCAGCAGAGAGGCUGGAGAGAAACUGUGUGGCUUUGUUUCCUAAAGAGACUUGCCUGUCACACGUAGCAGGGCGGGGCCUGCUAGCAUCUUCUGGUUCUCUGUAACUGAAGCAAUGGCCUAGACCAAGAUGGUGAAAGGCGAAUGGGCUCAGGCGACAUGGUACAAUAUUCUCUCGUGGUGCAGCAGCAGCAGCAAGCUACGGCUCCCAGUCAGCCACAAUGUCACAAGGGCAAACAAGGUAUGCUCACAACCAGUGUGUAUCCAUACAAUCAUUCUGGGGUUCACUCUCAGUACAGUAUUCAAUAAUUGGGUAUAACAAAUGUAUUUACCUAGAGUACUGUCCAUGAUACUGAAGUACAAAUAGUAUUUAUAUGAACACAAAUAUCUGACAGGGGGAAGAAGAAUAACACAACAAAGAAUGGAAAUAGAGAUGGCUGUUUUUAAUAUCUCUCUCUCUUUACAGUCUGAACUAUUAGAAUAAGCAUGUCUUACUCUUUUUUUUCAAGUAGGCUUCAUGCCUGGUGUGGAGCCCAGUGUAGGGCUUGAACCUAUGACCCUGAUAUCAAGACCUGAGCUGAGAUCAAGAGUGGAUGUUCAACCAACUGAGCCACCCAGAUGCCCCAAAUAUGUCUUACUUUUUAAAGUAAAAAUCUAAAAAAGAGGAAACAAAACAGGCAAAGUUUCUUUGUUUCUAGCUACAUAUAAACAUCUAUUUAGCUACUUUUUCACAUGUUCAAACAUCCGAAGGCACAAAUGUUUACACAUUAAAGAUAUAAGAAAUGGAUGGUCAGAAUCAGGUCUCACAAUAGACCGAUUAACUGAAAUAUCAAAUACCUACAACAUGCUGAACACUGUGCUAGGCUCUUAGAUAUCAAAUGGAGGACAUGGUUUGCUUUGCAAAAGCUCAUACUCUAGAGUGGAGAAGCCAUCACAACUAAAUGCUGAGUGCGCAGGGGGUCCUGUGAAUAGGAAGGUCAGAGAAGACUUCCUGGCAUUCAGUGAGUUGCAAAGUAGAGGCCUCCUAUACAGUCCACUUUUACUUUUUAGUGAAUUAAAGUGAUUUCUAUUGAGCACUAAUGUUUAAAACUGACUCUAUUCUUAACUGCUAUUUCCAUAAUAAAAUUCUAUAGAAAUGUG